GCUAGUAAUCGCGGAUCAGCAUGCCGCGGUGAAUACGUUCCCGGGCCUUGUACACACCGCCCGUCACACCACGAGAGUUUGUAACACCCGAAGUCGGUGGGGUAACCUUUUGGAGCCAGCCGCCUAAGGUGGGACAGAUGAUUGGGGUGAAGUCGUAACAAGGUAGCCGUAUCGGAAGGUGCGGCUGGAUCACCUCCUUU
rnacentral:rRNA from 1 species